UCCAUCCUUAGAGGGUUUUAAGGCCCGGCAGCCACACUGCUUGGAUAGAGAGGAAUUGUUAACUCCUGCUCUGACGUGGGAAACUCUGGGUGAUUGUUUAGAACAAGUGAUGCAUGCAGCUCUUUACAGGGAUUUCUGGCUACAGAUUGCAUCAGGUGCACCUAGGAUCCCAUGGGUCAACACGUCACAGUCCACAGAACCCUAUAAAUACUGGGACACUCUGUCUCUUCCUCCAUCUCGCUCUGCCUGGUGCAACUUCUCUGCAGUGACACUGAGAUCCCAGCCGACCUUCAGCCAUGAAGGGCCUCUACCUGCUCUGUGUUGUUGCCCUCCUCCUCUUCCAUGCUGGUCCAGGAGAUGGCACACCGAUUAUUCCCUGUGGAGGCGGACUGGGUUUCUGCUUAGUGAACUUGAGCAUAUGCCCUCUUGGUACAGUAGCGGGUGUACUAUGCUUGGGUGGAACACCCUGCUGUAAAAGUUGUCAAGUAUGCUGAGCCGAAGUAAUGUACAAGGGGACGGCUCGCAGCAUCGCGAGAGAGAUUUGUACCCCUCUUUUGAAUAAAAUAUGUCCCAUCACA